rnacentral:rRNA from 1 species
AUUGAACGCUGGCGGCAGGCCUAACACAUGCAAGUCGAGCGGAUGAAGGUAGCUUGCUCCUGGAUUCAGCGGCGGACGGGUGAGUAAUGCCUAGGAAUCUGCCUGGUAGUGGGGGAUAACGUCCGGAAACGGGCGCUAAUACCGCAUACGUCCUGAGGGAGAAAGUGGGGAUCUUCGGACCUCACGCUAUCAGAUGAGCCUAGGUCGUAUUAGCUAGUUGGUGGGGUAAAGGCCUACCAAGGCGACGAUCCGUAACUGGUCUGAGAGGAUGAUCAGUCACACUGGAACUGAGACACGGUCCAGACUCCUACGGGAGGCAGCAGUGGGGAAUAUUGGACAAUGGGCGAAAGCCUGAUCCAGCCAUGCCGCGUGUGUGAAGAAGGUCUUCGGAUUGUAAAGCACUUUAAGUUGGGAGGAAGGGCAGUAAGUUAAUACCUUGCUGUUUUGACGUUACCAACAGAAUAAGCACCGGCUAACUUCGUG